GCUUACGGCCAUACCACCCUGAGCACGCCCGAUCUCGUCUGAUCUCGGAAGCUAAGCAGUGUCGGGCCUGGUUAGAACUUGGAUGGGAGACCGCCUGGGAAUACCAGGUGCUGUAAGCU
ensembl:rRNA 5S_rRNA 5S ribosomal RNA